rnacentral:misc_RNA from 1 species
GAUGAAGAACGCAGCGAAAUGCGAUAAGUAGUGUGAAUUGCAGAAUUCCGUGAAUCAUCGAAUCUUUGAACGCACAUUGCGCCUUCUGGUAUUCCGGAAGGCAUGCCUGUUCGAGAGUCAUUAACAACCGUUUCGAUCCCUUUCUUUCAGAAAUUACAAAGAGGAAAAGGGUUUGGUUAUGGUGGAGGAGGGAAAGGGAGCGUUUAGCCUGUAAAAAAAGAGGCUGUGUUCCGCCUCCCCCCCAAAAUUGUACAGGCGGUCGUGUGCGCCCACGCAUCGAGGUGUUGUAAAAGCUGCCACGGCACUUUUCACCUGUGCAGUGCGAGAUUGGCCAGCCGGUUUAAAAACCCCUCCAAACGAUCAAAGGUUGACCUCGGAUCAGGUAGGGAUACCCGCUGAACUUAAGCAUAUCAAUAAGCGGAGGA